CAUCUAAAGGACGUCAUAUCAAAUCUUUACCAAUACGAAAGUGAAAGGUUCUUGAACAUUCGUUUUUACCUGAGAAGCUGGUGGGUAAAGGUAAAGAAUACACAACAGCUCGACAAACUGUGAAAACGGAAAAAUGGUGAGAAUUUUCCCAUAUGUUGCUGGACAAACUUUGAACUCCCAUGAGACAUUCCUUCAAGAACUCAUCAAAAAAGGUGCCAAAGUGGCUAACUUACACCAUGAAAGAGAUGUGGUUAUUGUCUUCUGUCCCAUCGUCAGUCGUUUUGAAACUGACAUCACCGCAGCGUUAUCCAAUGCCUCAGAACAAGGAUACAAGGAAGUGAUUGUGGUGGCCAUGCAUCACACUUUUGAUGAGAACUACACAAUACCAAACCACGGAGGGUAUCAAAACAGGGCCGUUCGGCUCAUUGUUGACAGUCUCUUUUUGAGAAUAAGGGACUUCUGAGUUGCCCUGUUAACAAAAUGGCGGUCAAGAGUGUCUGUAACGAGCUGAAGCUUUCACGUGGAAAAUGCCCCUUUUGUUGUUGUUAAUAAAGGGGCAAAGAAGUAUGCUGUGAGGGGAGGGACACUGAAUAAAAGCAACUAAAUGUAGUCAGUAAGUAGGAAUGUGGACCGAAGGAAGAUCUGGAAAACGACAAGGAACACCUCUGAUUCUUUUUGUGGUACUGCGAAGAAACGCUAACUUCAUAUUUUAACAUAGGUGGAAGUGUGUCACUGUAAUAAUGAUGGGAAAAAGUAAUGCUGCUCUGUUUUUCAAGUGCACAAUCCUUAUUACAAUAGUAUUAUUCCUCCAAGGAUGUGAUUUUCUGCAUCAUAUUAACAUAUAAACUUAAUAGAAUGUAGGACAAUACAUGUAUGCUCAUAAAUUCCAAAAUAAAAACAUGAAAUGUACAUAGUA